UUUUGGGAAGGACCCCGAACCUAUUUUAUCUACCGCAUUUACUGUACACACAUUCGCAAGUGCCCUCUAUCUAGUGAGGCCAAACCAGUGCAAUACACAUGCCACGCAAGUGUUAUUGAGUUUCCACCAGCCUGGCGAGUGCACUGCACUGCAAAAAGCCUGCGAAAUAAUCAUCUCUCACAAGGAUUUUGACUCCAGGAACAGAGGCCUCAUCGCUGACUAAGGACUCAGCAAGGAUUCAUCGUGGGCCAGGACCAGCGGAGUACUUGAAGUUGUCGAGCCUGGUGAGAAUGAGACGGCUCUUUUGAAAAUCAACCGCCAUGACCGCACCUUCAUUUUCAAGGCCUUCACCGCGCUCAAGUUUUACAUGCACAGGAAAACCAGUGAACUGAGAUUUGACUGGUCUUUACUUUCAAAACUCGAACUUAGUUGCUCCAUGAGUUGCUUGCGGUUCACUCCAUCUUCAAUCUCAUAUCUGCCAUGUAGCACUUCUUUGUGGGAGGCUGUAUCUGGACAGAUGCUGUGUACAUAGAUGGUACCUAUUGAUCUUCUGCCAUGGGAACCAAGGUGCAGACAGGCAGCUCAGGAUGUCUGUGAGGGAUGAGGCACCGUCCUGAGGUCAUCAACACAUCUUCUCUGGCUUCUCUCAGGAUGAUUGAGUGCUCCAAACUGAAGAGACUGACCUUUGCAAACCAUGCUGACGCUGGAUUGGACCAGACCAGUGCCUAGACUAUCCUGAAUGACUGCCUGCUGAGGCUUUUCCCUGGCGGCAUCGAAGCCAUCCACACCAUAACCCAUGAUGCCCUGGCCUGGAUGUCUACCUUGGCCUACACGCCAUAUGAAAGAAGUGCCUAGAUUAGGCAGGACAGGCUGGAUGAUCAUCACCAUGCUGACUGAGAUGACCUUAAGGAUGACUGAUCACAUGACUGAGAUGCUGAGUCCUGGUGGAGGUUUCCUUGGUCUCAUUUGGAAGACUGCUGACAGGAAUUGGCUGGACUGGAUCAAGUGGCUGCUGUUGGAGCAAACUUUGAGCAAAUCCUUGGCAAUGAGAGGUCCCAAUCCAAUCAUACAAGAUAAUAUUCCGAGUCUAAAAAUUUAAGCAAGGAAAGAGAAAUACCAGACAAGAAUAAAUCACCUUUUUCCAAUAAGAAAAGUUCGCAGUUAGAACCAUGUAACAAAACUCUUUUGUGAGUUAGUGAGGUUCUUUGCCAUGCAAUCCUUCAAUUGUUAUCUCAUGUUUUUCCCAACUAUUGUGAGGCAGCACAUGUACUUUCAUUGCCAAGGGUUUGCUCUUAUGAUUGAUUAAUUUGAAUUAGUUGUCCAGGCACAUGUCACAAAAGUCUGAAAUGUUUUCAAAAUUAAUAAGGAUAAGCACAUUACAACCCCACCCCUCCAAAAAACCCUCCACUCCUUAUAACGUUUUUGUUAAGACGUAAAGUUUGAACUCGUGCAAAAGUACAAACCUUAUGAAUUGCAUUAACUGUGAUGCUCUCUAGACUUUUCAUUUUUGAUUCUGAGUGUUUGUAACUCAAAAUGAAGGUCUAAAACAGACAAAUUUGUUGACAUGUGCCUGGGCUGUUGUCUUUAACUGAAAAAAAAGUUAAGCUGAAAAUUGAUAAUUGUAUAGAUCUACAAUGGCACAUUAUAAUCAUUGAUCAAUAUAAAUUGAUCAAUUUGGCAGUUUUAUGAUUAUAUUAAUAACACAUUAAUAGUUGAAUUCUGAUGUGAUGAUGUUCUGUUUGAUCUCUGCCAUUGUAUCCUUUUUACUGCUUGAGUUUUGAUAAUUUUGGAUGGCAGUGAUACCAUUUGUUUAAAUAUAUACUUUGAAAUCAUGAAAUGUUUUAUCAACUUAACUGUUAAUGAAUCUGUUUCCGACAUUUCAGAGAAAAGAGUUCUAUUAAUGAGAAGAAAAAAAACAAUGCAUGACCAAUUUUUAUUGAGGUAAAGAAUGUAACAUUUUGCAUUUUUAUAUCAUGCCUUUAGUCACAAAUUGAAUGUAUUUGGCAAGGUAAUAUUUAUUGGUAAGGUAAUAUAUUAUAAUGUGCCAUUGUAGAUUCAUUUGCUACUUUAAUUAAAAUGAGGUUUCUGUGAUGUGAUGGUGUUUUUCUUUUGGACAUAUCUGCUGUCUAUUUGUACAAGUUUGCAGCACAGAACAUUGCUAUCAUAUCCUGUUGGAUAAAUUCCAUAUUUUCUAUGCUACGAUUCAAAAGAAAUUGGUUAUACAAGUAUACAAAUAGGGCUAAUUUGACACAAUUUACUGCAGAAACAGCGAAAAAAAUUUAAGCUAUUCGUGGAUUUCAGUAUUUCAAGGAAAAAGUACAAAUUUGGCAAUUUGAAAUUUGAAAACUAGAAAAAUUUAAGUUGUAUUUUUAAGAUUUUUUUCUCAAGACACGUUUUUCGUUUGCAAUAAUUAUGUUUGCGAGAAGAAACAAAUGCAUUAUCUAAGACUUGCUGCAAAUUUGAUCUAAGUAGACAGCAGAUAUGUCCUUUGGAUGUCGGAGAGUGGGGGGGGGGGGGUUCCAACUGAAGGGCUCUCUUCAGUGGGGUUUAACUUAAAAACUUUUUGAAGGGCGCCCUCUUGUGAUCUAUUUUUUAGACGGCAAUGUGUGGGUUGCCCACUUGGAACAAACUAAAUGUUAAAAUGAAAACCGUCACAAGAGGGCGUCCUUCAAAAAAAUUAAUUGAAAAUUUUUCUUGGCGCCCUUUAUAGUGCCUAACAGUUUUUGAAGUUGAACUUUGUCAAAGAGGGCGCCCUUUGCGUAUUUUAACUUGUUUUUUUUUUUAAAUAAGUUAAAAUUGUAAAAUAUUGGGGGUGCCCUCUGGUUAUUUAAUUUGAAAAAAUUUAAUUGGAAUAAAAUACAAGUGAGACAUGGUAAUUUGGUUUU